AGGGGUGUAGCUCAGUUGGUAGAGCAUCGGAUUCCAAAUCCGACGGUCCCGGGUUCGAGUCCUGGCGCCCCUGCCA
rnacentral:tRNA from 1 species